GCCUGGGUGGCUUAGUCGGUUGAGCAUCUGACUUCAGCUCAGGUCAUGAUCUCACGGUUCAUGGGUUCGAGCCCAACGUCGGGCU
rnacentral:tRNA from 1 species